UACGGAGGGUGCAAGCGUUAUCCGGAAUCACUGGGUUUAAAGGGUGCGUAGGCGGUUCUUUAAGUCAGUUGUGAAAUUCCCCCGCUUAACGGGAGGGACUGCGAUUGAUACUGAAGAACUUGAAUCAGGUUGAGGUAGGCGGAAUGUGACAUGUAGCGGUGAAAUGCAUAGAUAUGUCAUAGAACACCGAUUGCGAAGGCAGCUUGCUGGACCUGUAUUGACGCUGAGGCACGAAAGCGUGGGGAGCAAA
rnacentral:rRNA from 1 species